ACUCAAAUGAAUUGACGGGGGCCCGCACAAGCGGCGGAGCAUGCGGAUUAAUUCGAUGCAACGCGAAGAACCUUACCAAGGCUUGACAUCAACUAGUAAGACCUAGAGAUAGGUCCCCCACUUGUGGCUGGUUGACAGGUGGUGCAUGGUUGUCGUCAGCUCGUGUCGUGAGAUGUUGGGUUAAGUCCCGCAACGAGCGCAACCCUCGUUCUAUGUUGCCAGCACGUAAUGGUGGGGACUCAUAGGAGACUGCCGGGGUCAACUCGGAGGAAGGUGGGGAUGACGUCAAAUCAUCAUGCCCCUUAUGUCUUGGGCUUCACGCAUGCUACAAUGGCCGGUACAAAGGGUUGCGAUACUGUGAGGUGGAGCUAAUCCCAAAAAGCCGGUCUCAGUUCGGAUUGGGGUCUGCAACUCGACCCCAUGAAGUUGGAGUCGCUAGUAAUCGCAGAUCAGCAACGCUGCGGUGAAUACGUUCCCGGGCCUUGUACACACCGCCCGU
rnacentral:rRNA from 1 species